ensembl:snRNA U6 U6 spliceosomal RNA
GUGCUCACUUCAGCAGCACAUAUACAACCGGAACAAUACAGAAAAGAUUAGCAUGGCCUCUGCCCAAGGAUGACUAGCAAAUUCAUGAAGUGUUCUGUAAUUUU